UGGCGGCAUGCUUUACACAUGCAAGUCGAACGGCAGCGCGGGGGCAACCCUGGCGGCGAGUGGCGAACGGGUGAGUAAUAUAUCGGAACGUACCCAAGAGUGGGGGAUAACGUAGCGAAAGUUACGCUAAUACCGCAUACGAUCCAAGGAUGAAAGCAGGGGACCGCAAGGCCUUGUGCUCCUGGAGCGGCCGAUAUCUGAUUAGCUAGUUGGUAGGGUAAAGGCCUACCAAGGCAUCGAUCAGUAGCUGGUCUGAGAGGACGACCAGCCACACUGGAACUGAGACACGGUCCAGACUCCUACGGGAGGCAGCAGUGGGGAAUUUUGGACAAUGGGCGCAAGCCUGAUCCAGCAAUGCCGCGUGAGUGAAGAAGGCCUUCGGGUUGUAAAGCUCUUUUGUCAGGGAAGAAACGGUUGUGGCUAAUAUCCGCAACUAAUGACGGUACCUGAAGAAUAAGCACCGGCUAACUACGUGCCAGCAGCCGCGGUAAUACGUAGGGUGCAAGCGUUAAUCGGAAUUACUGGGCGUAAAGCGUGCGCAGGCGGUUUUGUAAGUCUGUCGUGAAAUCCCCGGGCUCAACCUGGGAAUGGCGAUGGAGACUGCAAGGCUAGAAUCUGGCAGAGGGGGGUAGAAUUCCACGUGUAGCAGUGAAAUGCGUAGAGAUGUGGAGGAACACCGAUGGCGAAGGCAGCCCCCUGGGUCAAGAUUGACGCUCAUGCACGAAA
rnacentral:rRNA from 1 species